GACGAACGCUGGCGGCGUGCUUAACACAUGCAAGUCGAACGGAAAGGCCCUGCUUUUGUGGGGUGCUCGAGUGGCGAACGGGUGAGUAACACGUGAGUAACCUGCCCCUGACUUUGGGAUAACUUCAGGAAACUGCGGCUAAUACCCGAUAGGAUCUCCUGCUCCACGUUGGGGGUUGGAAAGUUUCGGCGGUUGGGGAUGGACUCGCGGCUUAUCAGCUUGUUGGUGGGGUAGUGGCUUACCAAGGGUUAGACGGGUAGCCGGCCUGAGAGGGUUACCGGCCACAUUGGGACUGAGAUACGGACCAGACUCCUACGGGAGGCAGCAGGGGGGAAUAUUGCACAAUGGGCGGAAGCCUGAUGCAGCAACGCCGCGUGCGGGAUGACGGCCUUCGGGUUGUAAACCGCUUUCGCCUGUGACGAAGCGUGAGUGACGGUAAUGGGUAAAGAAGCACCGGCUAACUACGUG
rnacentral:rRNA from 1 species